GGCCUUCUCAAUCGCUUCCGACCGCACUAUAUGCAUCCGUGCCGGGCUUGCCCGGAUAUGGCGAUAAAUGAUGUCGUGUAAUAGAUGCAGCGGACCCGGGGGCGGUACCCGGCGGCUCCACCAGAAAUCCCGGCGCCGGCAACGGCAUCGGGGCUCCUGACGGGGCCGAACUAGGAUCGACGUGUAUUCAAAGACGAUGUUUUUGCCCGGCCUGAAUGCGCCGUAAAACCGUUCAAACCUACAAGUGCCAACGACAACGAGGCGCUCGCUCUUGCGGCGUAACUGAGUCCUCACGGACGACGUUACGAUCGACAAUAGCGCGGUCCGGUCCGCACCGGGCAACAGAAGCGGAAUCCAGCGGUCCGGGGGGCACCGGGCAACAGAAGCCCCCCACU
rfam:Sphingomonas laterariae strain LNB2 genome assembly, contig: Ga0138991_122